GAUGAACGCUGGCGGCGUGCCUAAUACAUGCAAGUCGAGCGAACGGACGAGAAGCUUGCUCCUCUGAUGUUAGCGGCGGACGGGUGAGUAACACGUGGAUAACCUACCUAUAAGACUGGGAUAACUUCGGGAAACCGGAGCUAAUACCGGAUAAUAUUUUGAACCGCAUGGUUCAAAAGUUAAAGACGGUCUUGCUGUCACUUAUAGAUGGAUCCGCGCUGCAUUAGCUAGUUGGUAAGGUAACGGCUUACCAAGGCAACGAUGCAUAGCCGACCUGAGAGGGUGAUCGGCCACACUGGAACUGAGACACGGUCCAGACUCCUACGGGAGGCAGCAGUAGGGAAUCUUCCGCAAUGGGCGAAAGCCUGACGGAGCAACGCCGCGUGAGUGAUGAAGGUCUUCGGAUCGUAAAACUCUGUUAUUAGGGAAGAACAUAUGUGUAAGUAACUGUGCACAUCUUGACGGUACCUAAUCAGAAAGCCACGGCUAACUACGUG
rnacentral:rRNA from 1 species